UACGAAGGGUGCAAACGUUAAUCGGAAUUACUGGGCGUAAAGUGUGCGCAGGCGGCCGCGCAAGUCGAGUGUGAAAGCCCCGGGCUUAACUUGGGAAUUGCGCUCGAAACUACGUGGCUGGAGUAUGGCAGAGGAAGGUGGAAUUCCACGUGUAGCGGUGAAAUGCGUAGAGAUGUGGAGGAACACCGAUGGCGAAGGCAGCCUUCUGGGCCAAUACUGACGCUCAUGCACGAAAGCGUGGGGAGCAAACAGG
rnacentral:rRNA from 1 species